ensembl:lncRNA novel transcript
GAGACUGCAAGCAGGGAUUAGGGAGAGGAGUAGACGUGGCUGGACGUCGCUAAGGAAUUUGCAAUGAUUACUUUAAUUUCGGGAGGUAACAAGAUCAAAUCAGUGCCUUGGGGAAGACUGAGCUGGCAAUCUAGAGAAAAUAAGCUUGUUUUUGGAAUUCCGAAAUAUAGCAUCACAUUUGCUACAUGGAAUAGUGAAAAAAGGAACUACAUAAGUUUAACACACAAUGCGACUUGCAAACAAACUAUAAAAGUACUGAAGAUGGUGUCCUUACAGCCCCUGAGGAAGGCCUGGUGGAACAGAGGACUCCAGUGAGGAACUGACUGUCCUGUGAAAACACACUUCGAUAAGUCCACCGGACCCUGACGAUGGGUGCAGAGGAAAAGCUGGGUCACUGAGGACAAACUGAGGCUCUUGGCAGUGUGAUGGUCUUCCUGCACUCUCUAUUUGUGUUCUUUAGACCCUGUGCAUAUACUCAUUGUGUACUCCAAUCUUUUCUGCUUUUAAAAUCUAUGAAUUCGGUCUAACAGCGUUCAUUGAACAAUGGAAGGAUAACACUGAGUGAGGCCACUCCUGGUCUCAGAAUGCACCUCCA